rnacentral:rRNA from 1 species
GACAGAGGGUGCAAACGUUGUUCGGAAUUACUGGGCGUAAAGCGCGUGUAGGCGGCUAUGUAAGUCGGGCGUGAAAUCCCACGGCUCAACCGUGGAAGUGCACCCGAAACGUGCGUAGCUAGAGUCCUGGGAGAGGAAGGUGGAAUGCUUGGUGUAGAGGUGAAAUUCGUAGAUAUCAAGCGGAACACCGGUGGCGAAGGCGGCCUUCUGGACAGUGACUGACGCUGAGACGCGAAAGCGUGGGGAGCAAACAGG